rnacentral:rRNA from 1 species
GAUGAACGCUAGCUACAGGCUUAACACAUGCAAGUCGAGGGGCAGCAUCGCGAUAGCUUGCUAUUGCGGAUGGCGACCGGCGCACGGGUGAGUAACGCGUAUCCAACCUUCCCGCAACUGGGGAAUAACCUUGCGAAAGUAAGACUAAUACCCCAUGGUCUCCACGGAUGGCAUCUGAAAUGGAGUAAAGGUUUCGGCCGGUUGCGGAUGGGGAUGCGUCCGAUUAGCUUGACGGCGGGGUAACGGCCCACCGUGGCAUCGAUCGGUAGGGGUUCUGAGAGGAAGGUCCCCCCACAUUGGAACUGAGACACGGUCCAAAACUCCUACGGGAGGCAGCAGUGAGGAAUAUUGGUCAAUGGGGCGGAAGCCUGAACCAGCCAAGUAGCGUGAAGGACGACUGCCCUAUGGGUUGUAAACUUCUUUUAUGCGGGGAUAAAGUUCGCCACGUGUGGCGUUUUGCAGGUACCGCAUGAAUAAGGACCGGCUAAUUCCGUGCCAGCAGCCGC